GCGAUUAUGGCCCAAUUGGUAGAGGCGUCAGUUUCAAAAACUGAAAGUUGGGGGUUCGAAUCCCUCUAAUCGCACCA
rnacentral:tRNA from 2 species